ensembl:lncRNA novel transcript
GUGGUGGAGCUAAUGACAUGUGUGCAGAAACUCUUCUGAAUGGGACUUCCCUGAUCCUGUUUUUACCUGAUCUUCAUGCUCAAUAGAAAAAGCCUCAGCUUUGGAAUCAGGGCCGUCCAGGUAGCAUGGCAUGGUACUGGAACACUAUGUCUUCUCUCUGACCUCUCGGAAUAUCUCUGUGAUUCAAUGUGUUGGCCCAUUGGAGGCCCUGGACUGGUUAAAACCUGGAGGUUUGAGAAACCCCUGAUCUUCUCCAUACUCUUCACAAGGGCAAUGGCUGGCCAAGAUUACAAAUUAGUGACUGUUGAGGCUGGAAUCUGUACCGAGGUCAUGGGAACCCCCUGCACUGCCCCUUCUAAUCACCCUCCUGCUUGGACCCUGGGAGUAUGACAAAGAGUCAGAUAAGACAACUGAGGCUGAAGAUCACACAACCAGUAAAUGGAACAGCCAGAAAUCAAAUGUUAUAUAUUGGCCCUGAAGUGGGGAUAAAGCAGCUAAAAGAAAGUGUACUUUACAUUAAAUUUUAAGCCAGGAAUAUUUAAGGAUUCCCAUUGUUUCACACUCUUGACAGCACUUGGUAUUGUCAGACUUCAACACAAUUGCCAGCCAAGUAGGUAUCUCACUGAGACUUAUAUUUGUCUUUCUCUGUUCACAUAUUGCUUUUGUCUGUGGGACAUUCAUAUGUCCUCUUCUGUGAAAUGUCUAUAUAUCCCUCUGGCAGAUAUUUUUAUUGAAUUAUUUGUAAUUUUUGUAUUGAUUGUUAGGAGCCAUUUAAAAAUAUGUAUACAUUUUCAAUACUAUUCUUUUGUUCGUUGCAUGUGUUCCAAAUAUAUUCUUCAAAUUAUGAUAUGGCUUGAUCUUCUACUCUUGAAAUGGUGUUUUUGAUGAAUAGAAGUUUUAAAUUUUAAUGUAGACAAGUCCGUCAGUAUUUUCCUUUGUAGUUAGUGCUUUUUAUAUAUCUUGUAUAAAUAAUUCUUGCCUACAUCAAGGUCAUAAAAAUAGUACCAAAUUUUCUCAUGAGAAUUUUAAAAUUCUGCUUUUCAUUAUGAAGUCUUUAAUCCACUAAAAAUUUAUUUAUUUAUGUGUAUGGUGUGAGAUAUAAAUUAAAUUUUAUUUUUUCAACUUGAAAAUCAAUUGUAUACCUAACUUUUAUUGUAUCCUAUUUUUAAAUUACAAUUUCUUUCUUUCUUUUUUUUGAGACAGAGUAUCAUUCUGUCACCCAGGCUGGAUUGCAGUGCUGUGAUCACAGCUCACUGUAGCCUCCAUCCACCUUUUGGGCUCAAGUGAUCUUUCCAUCUCAGCCUCCCAAGUAGCUGGCACUACAGGUGUGUGCCACUAUACCCAGCUAAUUUUCUUAUUAUUUUUUGUAGAGAUGGGGUCUUGCUAUGUUGCCCAGGCUGGCUUUAAAUGCCAGGGCUCAAGUGAUCCUCCCUCCUCAGCUUCCCAAAGUGGUGGGAUUACAGGAAUGAGCCACCAAACCCAGCCAAAAUUAUAAUUUCUAAUUAUUUAAAAAUGGAAUAGAUUCUUGCGCAUUGAUCUUAUAUUUGGUAACCUUUCCAAAAUCCCCUACUAAUACAAAAAGUUUGUUUCAGAUUUAUUUUUAAAGAGUUACAUCACCUGUAAAUAAGAGCAGCUUUGUUUCUUGCUUCCCAAUCCUCUUGCCUUUUAUUGUAUUGUAUUAAUUUCUUUUUCUGAUUUACUUAUGCUUUCAACAUUUCACCAUUAAACAUCAUGUUUGUUGUAGUUUUUUCUUUUUC